UUAGCCUCCGAAUAACGAGAAGGUGAAAUAUAGGAACACCUUCUGGUUCAGACAGAGGCUUAUAACAAAACCCGAAUCAGUUUUCGUGAGUGAAAAAGAUCUCCUUUUUUCGCCCUGAAAUCAAAUUAUCCUUUUAAUGGGUUGAUUCGAAUAUCU
rfam:Capsella rubella cultivar Monte Gargano unplaced genomic scaffold scaffold_6, whole genome shotgun sequence.